UACGGAGGGGGCUAGCGUUGUUCGGAAUUACUGGGCGUAAAGCGCACGUAGGCGGCUUUGUAAGUUAGAGGUGAAAGCCCGGGGCUCAACCCCGGAAUUGCCUUUAAGACUGCAUCGCUUGAACGUCGGAGAGGUGAGUGGAAUUCCGAGUGUAGAGGUGAAAUUCGUAGAUAUUCGGAAGAACACCAGUGGCGAAGGCGACUUACUGGACACAUAUUGACGCUGAGGUGCGAAAGCGUGGGGAGCAAACAGG
rnacentral:rRNA from 1 species